CACGUGUACCACCUUUCCUGCCUCUGACCACAAGGGCAGACCCCUAUUGACCGCAAAAGAACAAGCCUCUGGGCUCCCUCUUCAAGGGGCAGUGAGCUUCAGCGUCUGGGGGCUGGUUAGUUGUUUGGUUAGUGCAAGCUUCGUGCUCCUCACCACGAAUUUUUGCUGACACCCAGUCCAGCCGGUGGGGCUGCAGCUGGGGUGGGACCCUGGGGGCGGACAGCUGCCCUCCCAGCCGUGCUCCUAGCGUCAUUAGGACCCUGCCAGGUACAGGUGAGACUAACAGCUGGGAGAGCUGCCUCAGGCACUUAGGAUCGGGCUGGAAAGGUGAGUCAGUCCAGUGGGGGCAGGGCUCUGGAAUUGGGAUCUGCAGCCCAAGUUGGAGGUGCCCCCCCCAUGUCACCUGGAGAGAAACUGGACCCGCUUCCUGACACCUUCAUCCUGCAGCCGCCAGUCUUCCACCCGGUGGUUCCUUAUGUCACGACGAUUUUUGGUGGCCUGCGAGCAGGCAAGAUGGUCCAGCUCCAGGGAGUGGUCCCUCUAGAUGCGCGCAGGUUCCAGGUGGACUUCCAGUGCGGCUGCAGCCUACAUCCCCGGCCAGAUAUUGCCAUCCAUUUCAACCCUCGCUUCCAUACCACCAAGCCCCACGUCAUCUGCAACACCCUUCAGGGCGGGCACUGGCAAGCCGAGGCCCGGUGGCCCCACCUGGCCCUGCAGAGAGGAGCCAGCUUCCUCAUCCUCUUUCUCUUUGGAAAUGAGGAGAUGAAGGUGAGCGUGAAUGGACUCCACUUUCUCCACUACCGCUACCGGCUCCCGCUGUCCCGUGUAGACACCCUGGGCAUAUACGGUGACAUCUUGGUGACAGCCGUCGGGUUUCUGAACAUCAACCCGUUUGUGGAGGGCGGUAGCGAGUAUCCGGUUGGACACCCUUUCCUGCUGAAGAGCCCCAGGCUGGAGGUGCCCUGUUCGCGUGCCCUUCCCCGGGGUCUCUGGCCUGGACAGGUCAUCAUAGUGCGGGGACUGGUCUUGCCAGAGCCGAAGGAUUUCACGCUCCGUCUGCGGGACGAGGCCGCCCACGUUCCUGUGACGCUCAGGGCAUCCUUCGCAGACCGAACUCUAGCCUGGGUCUCGCGCUGGGGCGGGAAGAAGCUGAUCCCGGCCCCCUUCCUCUUCUACCCCCAGCGAUUCUUCGAGGGUUCCAGGCUCUAAUUGUUGUUCAUUGGACUUCAAGUUCCCUUCAAGGAGUUAGAACGCAAAGCCUCCGGCCAAGCAGGUGAGCAGGUCAGGAGGUGUAUCUGCAGACCUCUCUUCUCCCUGGAUUAUAAAAAGACAUGAAUGACCACACGCCUGUUGUCAUCUCUCCCUGAUUGUCAGGAAGUCAUCCCUCAGUUCACUGCCCUCUCAGCAUCACUUAUCUCAAUAAAUUCUACUUUCUCUCCACCUCGCCAUGCCCAAGAAACUCUGCUUUCUUUUCACCCUGCUGACACAAGUCCGGAAAGUCUUCUUCCAACCCACGUGCACAGACCAAGACAUUGUUGAUCACAAGGGUGUCUCCCCGGACCCUGGUGUGUCCUCCCACCAUAAAAAGAACCCAGCCCUCUUAGAGGACACCUGAGAAGAGCACUGAACAGCCAAGACGCACCUUGCUGUAGCUGGGAAGGAGCCCACGUCAGUCAGCUCGGGCGCCACAACAACACACCACAGAUCGAGCAGCUUAAACAACAGCUGUCUUUCCCACCCUUUUGUAAGCUGAGAAGUUCAAGAUCAAGGUGACAUUGACAGCACUUAUGCCUCGAACCAGCCUAAACCCAGAUGGGGACUUGAACCCAGAGUUUUUAAACUAGAAUCACUCACCCGGUGUCUGGACUCACUGA